UGUCACACUGGCUAUAUUGUAAUUGUAGUUGUUAAAGUAAAUUAACUUCUUACAUAUUUCAUUACUUAUCAAUACAUCAAUUAAAAGACCAUUAUUCAAAUACUGAUUCUCUUUUGCCCAAAGUUACCGUCUUGAUACACUGUGUCCCCUUGCGUCUUUUUUCGGAGAAACACCUGAUUUUCAUACACUCUAUUUACAGAGAGAGAGAGACAAGGUCACCAAUGCUACCCUGAAUUAAUCUUUAAUCAGAAUGUGCAGGAGUGUCAAAGAAAGAGAAAUAGUCGAAUGGUAUUCAAAAGACAAAUGUCUGAUGUCUGGGAAACUGAAUUCGAUUUUCAUAAAUUCCAUAACCUCUAUUGUCGCUUUUUAUAAAUUGUAUCCUUGUUAUUCACACAGACUGUCUAACAGGAUGCACUAGCCUAAACUGCAGUGACAGGUGUCCACUUGGGCUUUAUGGAGUGGAAUGUCAAACUAAAUGUCCAUUAGAGUGUAACUUUAAUCGCAAUCAUUCGACCGGGAAAUGUUAUGGCCUGGAUUUCUCGAAAAAAUCUCAAAUCUUAAACUCAGUUUCAACUUAAGUCCGAGAUUUUAUCUUAGUUGAGAUUGUGCUUAAAUUGCAUUUCUCAAAACGAUCUUAGUUCAAUCUCAGCUGAGUUAAUAUUAUUACCCAGCUGAGUUUAUUCCUCACGACACUAAGCGGGCCGCUUAGUGUCUGUCAAAAAUAGUAACUUUCACAGAGCUUUAUAUUUCGUAAUCAAAUCGUCUGUUUGUCUUCUGCCGCGUAUAACAUUGAGAUGGAGCUGUCCGCUGACCUUCCCAGAUCCCAUUAACCAAAUUGGACAGAGAGACAACGUCUGGCACUGAUGGACGUGGUCCAAUGCAGAGAGAGGACCGCCCUUUCGGUAAAAUGAAGGGGCAGGUGGCGUGAAGAACUCUCAUUUGAAGGAAUUGGCGUGGGAGGAAUUCUUCCAGAUCGUCAAUGCAUAAUCUGAAACCAGUCAAAGGGGGAUUGAAGAGGUCAAGAAACAAUACUCGUACAUGAUAUAAAGAGUAUACUGAUGUAAAAAGAAAAUUCAGCAAAUGAGAAAGCGGAUGCCAUCAGGCGACUUGCAACUGGUGAACAACCUAAACCUCCCUCGCCCACUCCAGUGGAGGCAGAUAUCAUUGAUGGAAUAGGGGACAGGCCUACAUUGUGUGGUCUGUCUGGAGGACAUGACAGAGGAAGCCAGUUCCAGUGCAACAGUGAACUGUCAGGUCAUUGACUUGGGUCCAUUGCCAACACCAUCCACCUCAAAGAGACGGAAGACGAUGGAGGAUGAAGAAAUCUUAACCCUUCAGGCAG